GGUGUUGGCCAGAUAGAUCCAGCAAAAGCAGCAAGAAAGCCAUACUGCCCAGCCACUCUGCUCUUCCACCUGACAUUUUGUGAUGUGCCAGCAACGUCGAAGAAAGAGUUGUGUCGGCACUCAAUGCUCAGCUCAAAGCAUGAGCCAUUAAUCUAAAAGCAAAACAUAGCAUGGUGCAAUUUGUCACUAAAAUCUGAUCAAGAUAUUCGGCGGGGCAAAACCACCAAUGGAUUGACUAUUGCGUGCAACUGGAUGUAUAAGUUGACAGGGACCUUUGGCGGAUUAGUCAACAACGUGUUGUGGCCUUUUCUGUGGUUAUGAACGGUCUGCUGACGAUGACUAGAUCAUACUAGUCGAAACAUUGAGACGCAAUCCACGGUAGUGAAGUUUAUAAAGAGAAGUCCCUACACA